GAACCUUAGUCGUACUCCGAAUGCUCUCGAUUAGUUUUAUUGAUCCUGGCUCAGAUUGAACGCUAGCGGGAUGCCUUACACAUGCAAGUCGAACGGCAGCACGGACUUCGGUCUGGUGGCGAGUGGCGAACGGGUGAGUAAUGUAUCGGAACGUGCCCAGUAGCGGGGGAUAACUACGCGAAAGCGUAGCUAGUACCGCAUACGCCCUACGGGGGAAAGCAGGGGAUCGCAAGACCUUGCACUAUUGGAGCGGCCGAUAUCGGAUUAGCUAGUUGGUGGGGUAACGGCUCACCAAGGCGACGAUCCGUAGCUGGUUUGAGAGGACGACCAGCCACACUGGUGACUGAGACACUGGCCCAGACUCCUACGGGAGGCAGCAAGUGGGGGAAUUUUGGGACAAAUUGGGGGGAAACCCUUGAUUCCAAGGCCAUCCCGCGUUGUUGCGAUUGAAUGGCCUUCGGGGUUGUAAAAGCAACUUUUGGGCAAGGGAACAGAAAACGUCCAUGGGGUUAAAAUAACCCCCGCUGAAAACUUGGACGGGUAACCUUGGCAGAAAUUAAGGCGACCCGGGCUUAAAACUUAACGGUUGCCCAGCAGNNCCCGGCGGGUUAAAUAACCGUAAAGGGUUGCAAAGCGGUUUAAUUCGGGAAAUUUACCUGGGGGCCGUUAAAAGCGUUNCUGCCAAGUGCCGGUUCCGGGAACAAGAAA
rnacentral:rRNA from 1 species